GUGGGUGUCAAGUAACACAGAGAUAAAGUGAACCAAUGGGUGAAUCAGGGCAACAAAAUGUGCUGUGACAAAUUUGAGGCUCCCAUGCUGUGUCUCCUGACCACCUGGCAUUUCACAGUGACAGCGAGGAGAAAACUUGCCUGCUUUAAAAGUACGCUGGAGCCAAAGGGGAAUCUCCGUGAACGGUUAGCAGAUUAGGGCUUCUGACUCAGAACUGAGUCCUCAUUCCGUCCAGUCCAGGGCAGUUGUGCCUAAGGUCAGCGUCAGUCUCUGGAGAACCCAGAAUAUAGGACUCAUGGCUGAAGGUCCUACAAAGUACAGGGAAAGGAUAAUGCCCAGGUUGCAAGAAGCUUGAAUAGUGUCUCUCUUCCCUUCAGCCCGUGAGGCCCUCGGCAAUCAGGAUCUGACGGACUAGGAACUAUGUAAAAACCAUCACCACAGUUAGGUUUUCUGCCGCGCCUCUGCCUAGGAGCUGGAGAUAAAUGCCAGCCACUUCCAGGAACCGCCUGAGGCUCAUAAAAAAGCUUCUGAAAGUAUAAAACUUCCUUUUCUGGCCAGGCUGAGAGUUUGAAAGGAGUAUUGCUCUGGGGAGAUUCACACUGAAACCUGAGAAGACAUCACCAUAUAAUGCAAAAUGAAAGAUUUUGGACAAAAAAUAAGAGUAUUGAUUCCUGAAUCUUACCACACACACACACUCUUUCAGAAAAGCAGCAUGCUACAUUUACAAUUUGAUGCAUAUGCUGGGCUUGUGCAGUACAGCAUUCUGUGCGCUAAAACUGUCAACACAGAAUGGUCGAAAGGAAAAAGACCAGAUCUGUGUGUCCUGAAGAGUCCAAGAAGAAAAACAAUAAAGAAGCCUACGUGUUGGUUUGAUCACAUCAGUAGGAUAAAUCGUGUUUAUUAAAAUAUUCCACAAGGGUAAUUCAAGCAAGCAGAAAUUCAUUCUGCUCUCUGGUGGAUGGAUAUCAGUUGUUUCCUUCACAGAGCUGCAAAUAAUACCAAGUUCCAGAUCUUAUGAAGUGCAGUGCAGAAAUUGCUUUGAAUAUGUCGCUUUGGAGCAAGCGCUUCCACACACA